AUCCAGCUGACGAGUCCCAAAUAGAACUAAACGUGCGUCCUGGAU
rfam:Schistosoma mattheei strain Denwood, Zambia genome assembly, scaffold: SMTD_scaffold0000080